rnacentral:rRNA from 1 species
UACGGGGGGGCAAGCGUUGUUCGGAAUUACUGGGCGUAAAGGGCUCGUAGGCGGCCAACUAAGUCAUACGUGAAAUCCCCCGGCUUAACCGGGGAACUGCGUCUGAUACUGGAUGGCUUGAGUUCGGGAGAGGGAUGCGGAAUUCCAGGUGUAGCGGUGAAAUGCGUAGAUAUCUGGAGGAACACCGGUGGCGAAGGCGGCAUCCUGGACCGAUACUGACGCUGAGGAGCGAAAGCCAGGGGAGCAAACGGG